GGUCAGGCUGGCUCUGCUGUGUUUGAUUGAGAUUCAUUAAAAGGGUCUCCCUCCUCUCCUAUGUCUGAAAAAAAAAAUGAAGAAUCUGUAUGAGAAAAGAGGAAUAGCUGACAAAGAUCUCAACAAAGCCCUGCUCUGUAGACAGAGCCUACACUGACAGAAAGGUGUAGAAAUGCCAUCUCCCUAAGUGCUUUUCCAUCUAUGUCUGUACAGGUCUGUAGUACUGCCAGAGCAGUCCAUAGCAUCACUCAAGCAUGUGAAAUCUAUGAUGAAGUAACCCUCCAUUACCUUGAAAAACUAUGCUUGGGCAGCUUGGCCUUGUCAUUUUCUGAACCUCAGAGUCGGGGCAACAGACUGUUCCUUGGUUCUGACCUAGAAGGCUGGAGUCCCUGUUUGUGUUGUCUGUCCCAGGUGAGAGUCUCAACAUCUGUGUGUCGGGAUGUAUCAACCUUGCACUGGAUAAGGGAAAUAGAACAAAAGUAAAGCAUAAACAUGAGCAUCUGUGAAGCAACUAUAAAGUUAUUGCUGGCCAGGUUGGGGAAUGACAAAUUAGGAGAUGAGUGUGAACCAUAAAAAUGGUUGUCUGGUAGAAAGACAAAGAACAUGGACACCAAAAAUGGGAAACAAACAUGAGCCAAGGAAAGGGAGACAGAAAGGCAGCAGCAAGAAGCAGCAUGCUCCCCAGCCCUGGAAGCAGAAGCAGCUGCACACCAACAAGCCAUGGAGCUGGAAAAGAAGGAAACCCAAGAAAAUGAGAGGGAAAGGCUUCAUGCCCAGAGCAAAAUGGGCAAACAGGCAAAUCCCACAGGCUCCAGGUACUCCCUCCAUCCAAGGAACACCCAGCCGGGACACGUUGUGCCCUGCAUACAAAAAAGAAGCAGAUUGUAUUGAAGCAUAUUUUACCACUUUUGAAAGGUUAUGUGAGGUUCAUAAAGUUCCAGAAGAUAAGGAAGUCCCCCGAUUGCAAAGUUGUGUGGUAAAACAUUAAGCAUAUUUAAUGAAAUACUAGUUGAAAAAGCUUUGAAAUAUUAUGAGUUUUAAAAAUGUGUCUUGCAAAGCUUUCAAAUUACCCCUGAGUUGUGCAGUUUGAAAUUCACAAAUCUCAGGAAAAGUGCUGGCAUGAGUCAAUGUGUCUAUAAAAUGUGUGGCCCAACAAGAAAAAGGGAAAAGUGGCUGAGAACUAUGACUGUUUGUUUGAUCUCUUUGCUCAAGAGCAUUUUCUAAGCAUAUGUUCUGAGAUGUAAUAUAGAAUAAAUCUUUUAAGUUCUCUGUAGAAAGUUGCCAUCCUGCCUCCUGAUUCCUUUGUACAAGCCCAAAUGUCUAAUGAGCACAAGACACCGAAGUAGGGGCAGAAGCCUGGUGUAAAGGGGAUGACCCUGUUUUACCACUGGAUAGAAGGGGAGUGGUUGGGAGCCCAGGUGCUCACCUCCUCAGAAUCAUUCCCCUGCUAGAAAUCCCUGUUAUACACAAGGGAGAAGGUACAGGAGAAUGGUCCAAGGAGGUACCACCCAUGUAACUCUACUGAGCACAUGAGAAAUAAGUGCCUUAAAAUAAACUAAGAUCACACCCCAUCCAAUGCAGGUUAAUGCAACUGUCAUUACCAAUGCAAACACCAAUUAAUUUUGUGAUGCCUGAUCUUGAGGAAGUGGACCUGGAGUUUAUCAUGGUUGCCAAUGUAAAUUGCAAGGAAUGGGUAGCCUCAAGGGACAUUGGAUUACAAAUUUCUCAGGUCAAGGAAAGCAUAUUCAGAAAAACUGGAUAUGCAUGUUACCUGACCAGGAAGUAGAGCUCCUUGUAUUGGAAAAAUAUAAAAUAGUUGUACCUCUGGCUAAGGUGCAUUUUGAGUUAGAAGGUUUGAAAGGUACCUCGAAAGUUGAGAUAUUAAACAGCACGUCCACAGCAGUGCUGGUGGGAAGUGAUAUUUUUAGUAUGUUCACAGAUGUUUAUAUUGUAACCCAUAGAAGAGAAUUGUGCAGACGAAAAAGCAGCUGUGGGAGAAGGGGACAUCCCCAGCUGAGCAAGAGGAAGCAAAGUGCUUUCAGAUGUGGGAGGGAUUGAGGCCAGCUCUUGCAUAGCAGAGGAAAGUAGAAUCCUCUGAGACUGGGGGAGGGGGAAUUUACCUCUGCUACUGCAGAAUCUGUCCCAGUUGUCAGCUGCGAGCAUUUUGCAAAUGAAUUAAGAGUAAACUGCACUCUAGAGUGCAUAUGGAGAUAUGUCCUGAAGGGGACCUCAGUAAGGGGAAAUAGAGAAUAUACAGGUAAGCUCAGGGGGGGGAACAGUAAAAUCCCUGGGAAACCUUACAAGUGGCUGAUUGUGCCUGCCCAGCACUGUGAGGAAUUAAUCUUACUGACACAUGAUUUUUCUUUUACUGGUCACUUAGGGCCAUGGAAAUCUGUGAACAUUUAAAAAAAAAAUUACUGGCCAGGGUACAGAAUGAGGGGAUAGAUUAUUGCAGGUCUUGUGAAUUAUGUCAAAAAAAAA